rnacentral:rRNA from 1 species
CCUACGGGAGGCAGCAGUGGGGAAUAUUGGACAAUGGACGAAAGUCUGAUCCAGCAAUGCCGCGUGAGUGAUGAAGGCCUUAGGGUUGUAAAGCUCUUUUACCAGGGAUGAUAAUGACAGUACCUGGAGAAUAAGCUCCGGCUAACUCCGUGCCAGCAGCCGCGGUAAUACGGAGGGAGCUAGCGUUGUUCGGAAUUACUGGGCGUAAAGCGCACGUAGGCGGUUAUUCAAGUCAGAGGUGAAAGCCCGGGGCUCAACCCCGGAACUGCCUUUGAAACUAGAUAGCUAGAAUCCUGGAGAGGUGAGUGGAAUUCCGAGUGUAGAGGUGAAAUUCGUAGAUAUUCGGAAGAACACCAGUGGCGAAGGCGGCUCACUGGACAGGUAUUGACGCUGAGGUGCGAAAGCGUGGGGAGCAAACAGGAUUAAGACUACCCGUGGUACGUCCACGACCGUAAACGAUGAUAACUAGCUGGUCCGGGCACAGUGUGUCGUUGGGUGGCGCGAGACGUACGACUAUUAAGUUACGUCCGUCCGUGGGAGGUACGGUCGACGAAGUAAUUAAACUAACGAAAGAAGUAGACGGCGUGAGACGUCGACCGACGACGACGACGAGGGAGGAGG